UUUAAUUCAAUAUGGAAAUAAAUUACUAUAGAAAAUGACUGGACAAUGUAACUUUUAUUCUAUAUUUUGCGUUCCACUCAAUAACAUCCUUUACUGGAAUUCGAAAACCAGAAAAUAAUCUACAAUGGGAAAAAAAAUAUUAAAAGUUUAUAGUAGCCGGAGAAUAUGCCCUCCCGGGUAUAAAAGAGAUCCUGAAAUCAGCUGAUCUAAGAUGCUUAAUUCUUUGUCUUUUUUUUUUCCCUCUUUUCUUUGGACUUUUAACCGAAAACUAAACCUUAUCAUCCACUUCAGUGGAUUUUGAUAACCCAUCAUGUUUUUGUGCUUUGUUACCAUUCAUUGAAAGACUACGGCGUUCCUUCCCUCCUGGCUUAGACGAGGCCUUAGCAUUACCAUACCAGAUCAUUCCUGCUACUGCAAUGAUCAUACCUACAAUUACUUGAAGAUUAAGACCCUCCUUCCCGAAGAAAAUAAAUCCUAAGGUCAGGACAAGAAUUGUCUUCAUAUGACCAAGCACUUGGAAUGACACAGCAGUAAACCGGCCAAUGCAAAUGAAUUGGCUGAGGUUUGUCCCCACUGCAAUACUGCACGACAGGAUUAUGAACAACACAGAUGUGAAACUAUAUGCAUAAGCAUCAACUCUUUUAUCUGUCAACCAAUAAUCCAAUAAAGGUCCUACUAAAAGCAGAGAAACUGCUUGUGCUGGAGCAGUGUGCCCCAAUAAGUUGAAAGAUCCUAGAGAAUACCUCUGUUGAAGAAAAUGUACAUAAUAUUGCUGCAAGGAAGUGCUCCAAACUGCCACCACUGCAGCUAUAACUCCUUUGGCAUUGACACUGACAUCUGUAACAGUACAGACAGCAACACCAAGGAGAACUACUGCUAUGCUAAGCUUUGUGUCCCUUGAAUAACGCACUUUGUCUAAUACAACUUCCAGAAAACAGGAUACAGGGAUCAUACUCAACUUUGCAAUCUGAUAAAAUCCAACUGAGUUCCACAUCAAACUCACAUUCAUUCCAACAAUAGAGAAAUUUGCAAACAAAACAAACUUCAGAAGCUCGGAUAGUGGUAGUUGAGAUGCCUGGAUAUAUCCCAGCCACCUAAGAAUAAUAGUUAACAAGGUAGUUGUGGCAAAAUGCAGACCAGUUAAUGUCGUAGCUGCAUGAUGGCAGUAGAUUAAACACAAAAUCAAGGUUCAUAAAAAUAAGAAUGCAUUAAGGAACUUCUUGAAAAAGCUAAUAAGAUACACUCAAAAAACUUAGUCAACAUUGAUAACUUCAUGGUUUUAUUCUUUAUUUAAGUUCAUAUUAAUAAGCCCAAUUAAUAUGCCUCUUUAUGAGUUCAAUAACACAAAAUAAGUGAACAAAUCCAAAUCUAAUUCUUUUAAGGUGAAAUACAUCAUGCCAGUUACUUUGCCCUUGAACUAAUUGGGAAAAGUCUGUCAUAGCCCUAAUCCUUUAUUUUUGACUUAUUGCACCUAUAAUUUUUAGUUUUAUAACAAAAAAGCAUAAUCCCUACUCAUUAAUGAAUAAUGGAACAUGUCAAGCAAUAUAUUUAAUCCAUUAUUUAUUGAUGAAUAGAAAAAAAAAGUGUUUAUUGGUUACAAAAACAAAAAUUGAAGGGUGUAAAAGGUCAAAAUUAAAAGGUUAAGGAUGCAAUAGAUUUUUCCCAAGAGGUGCAGGGACAAAUUUAUAUAGGCCUUCUUUUAUGGGCUUGCUUGAAGAUAUGUCUCCUUUGUUACGUAUAACAUCUUUCCAUGCUGCAUUUCCAUUGAUAAACUAUAUAGAUAUAUCGUCUUAAAAACAAGUUUAAAGCUACUGCAAUUCAAAUGUACAAAUCAACCGACAAAAUAAGAUCAUGCAGAAUCAACUGACAAAAUAAGAUCAUGCAGUGAAUUAAAACUAUACGUAGUUAAUGUUUUCUGAGUUCAUAAGCUCUAUAAUUUCCAAAAACUUAAAGCGUCUUGUCUGUGUAUUAAUAGAUGGAACUAAUACCAUAAAUGUACAAAUUAAGUCACAUGAUAGCUCCACUGAGACACUGACCUACAUUUGUGCUUCAGGUCAUCAUUUGUAUGUCCUCUAUUGCACAAUUAUAAUUGUAUAUUCAUUCAAAUCCGAGUCAACGAGACCACUUAGAACAAGUAUAGAUGCACAAGCAUCCAACAGGCUAAUAUUUUUUUAUAAUUUUUCUAUGCAUUGCAAUAGUAGAAACUUCGAAUAAAAUUCAUAAUCCAGAUGAAAACCAGUAACCCUUGUCCAAAUACCAGAGUACAGCCUUCCUUCAAAUUUCAACAAAUUGAUAAAAGAUUCCUAUAAGGUAGCUGCAGAUACUAAGGCCUCCCAAUAAAAUAGUAAGUUAUGUCACAUACGUUGUGUUUUCUAAUGAUUUUGAACCACCAAAAUGUACAACCAAAACAUAAAUACAAAGAGUUCCAAAAGUAACUGAGUUUUGCAAUUUAAUCUUCAAAAAACAAGAGGGAAAGAGUGUAUGAGGAAUUGUAAAUUGAUUAUAAAGGCUUUUUUGCUUAAUUCUAACUGAACAAGAAUUACUUGUAGUCUAGAUGGUUCUUUUUCAAGGAAGCAUAGGAAUACCAUUAUGGAGUAUUAAAAUAUAGAGUUCCCUGAGUUUCAUUCUUCUGCCAGCUCAAACACUAUCUCUAUUUGCUCAAUCCCAUUAUUUGCAAGGUCAAACAAUCACGAAGAAUUUGACCAACCACUGCCAAUUUUUUCAAAUAAAUAAAUAAAACAAAUUUUUAUUGUAAGGCACUUCAAAAAGGAAUUAGCUUCUAGGGCAAUUUUAAAAAUUCUUAUCCUUAAAUACUAAAAGAGACAAGAUCAAGAGUGAUUCUUAAAUGAAACUUUAGAUGGUCAAAAAAUGAAUAUUAUUUAAAACAAGAAAGGUAUAAAAUAGAAGUGAGAUAAAAGAAAGUAUCCAUUCAAAGACCUUAAAAUCUCCACUAUUGGAACUUUUGCAGGUUGUUUAUGUGCAAGUAACGACCUUUGCAAAGGAUCCCCUUGACAGUGACACGUCUUCACGGUAACCUAAUUUAUAAGAUAUAAAAUGUCAAACCUAGUCAAAAUUUUCAUUUAGCAUAGGUAGGUGGGUAAGUAAAUCUAUCUCACCUUCUAUAAGCUAACCACAAUGUUUACAAAAAUUAAACAAUCGAUCUGUCCUUUGGCCAUACCUCUUUGGCUCUCCCUUGUCCUGGCUUUUCCAAAAGAACAGGCAAUGCAAAGAAAAAUUUUGAGGAGAGAAGACUAUGCACUAUUUGCCAAUGAUAGUUACAGUUUAAGUUAUUUUAUGGGAGAGGAUCAUAUCCCACAGAUUUAUAUACAUAAGAUAUGAAACUAAGCAAUGAAGUACUGCUAAAGCAGAUAUUGAUAAAUAUUUGAUAGAUUGUCAGAAAGAUCAUACCAAAACUAAAGCCAUAGGUGGCCAUCAAUGCUUUAUUGACAAGGAUAAUUCCAACAGAUGUGACAAUAUUGAACAUCCAUGAGGCUGCAUCAAUAGCUGCUUUCGUAUCAGCCUUGUUCGUGGAAGACAUUUUUUUUUUCUGUUCUUGCAAUUAGCAACAGAAUCUUCCCUAAUAGCUCUUCAUAAGAGGGAAUAUGCUUGUAUCUUAAAAGUUGUGAGUUGUAAUGUUGUACCUGUAUUCACAAGGUACCUGAAAUAAAAAGGAAGAAAAUAAAACGCGAGUUUGGUGCUCUUCUUCUAAUUUUUUUUCCCGGAAAACAAACGGAAAAGAACGAAAAAACAAUCUCGUUGACGAAGAAAGAUAACGAGGAGGUUUUAAUAAAGGAAUUACAGAGAGAAUGUUAAAUAUAAAGAGGAAAGGAAAUGCCGAACACAGCAGCUACGGUCCCUAUAGAUUUUGAGAGUUUUCGUUCUCG
rnacentral:misc_RNA from 1 species